CUCUUAUUCAGAGUGGUGGAGAUACAUAGGAUCUAGGAAGCCACGGCAACCCCGGAUACGGAAGGUGCCAGCCUGAGCGAGUAAUCGAACAAUAAGAG
rfam:Ruminococcus sp. DSM 100440 contig00005, whole genome shotgun sequence.